rnacentral:misc_RNA from 1 species
AGAAGUAAAAGUCGUAACAAGGUUUCCGUAGGUGAACCUGCGGAAGGAUCAUUAAUGUGUUUGGGCCUCACGGCUCUUCAUUCCGACGCUGUGCGCCUUCGGGCUGCACGCUGAGGGAGCAUAUAUCCACCCCUGUGCACACACACGGUGGCGAGCUGGGUAACGGCUCGCCGCUGAUCUUUACACACGUCUAAAAGUCAUUGUAUGUUUAUUUGAGAUAAAAACACAACUUUCAGCAACGGAUCUCUUGGCUCUC